rnacentral:rRNA from 1 species
AUCCCAGACUCCUACGGGAGGCAGCAGUGGGGAAUAUUGCACAACGGGCGCAAGCCUGAUGCAGCCAUGCCGCGUGUAUGAAGAAGGCCUUCGGGUUGUAAAGUACUUUCAGCGGGGAGGAAGGUGUUGUGGUUAAUAACCACAGCAAUUGACGUUACCCGCAGAAGAAGCACCGGCUAACUCCGUGCCAGCAGCCGCGGUAAUACGGAGGGUGCAAGCGUUAAUCGGAAUUACUGGGCGUAAAGCGCACGCAGGCGGUCUGUCAAGUCGGAUGUGAAAUCCCCGGGCUCAACCUGGGAACUGCAUUCGAAACUGGCAGGCUGGAGUCUUGUAGAGGGGGGUAGAAUUCCAGGUGUAGCGGUGAAAUGCGUAGAGAUCUGGAGGAAUACCGGUGGCGAAGGCGGCCCCCUGGACAAAGACUGACGCUCAGGUGCGAAAGCGUGGGGAGCAAACAGGAUUAGAUCCCCCCGUA